UACGGAGGGGGCUAGCGUUGUUCGGAAUUACUGGGCGUAAAGGGCGUGUAGGCGGCCUGCCAAGUCAGAUGUGAAAGCCCCGGGCUUAACCUGGGAACUGCAUUUGAGACUGGCCGGCUCGAGGUUGGAAGAGGAGAGUGGAAUUCCCAGUGUAGAGGUGAAAUUCGUAGAUAUUGGGAAGAACACCGGUGGCGAAGGCGGCUCUCUGGUCCACACCUGACGCUGAGGCGCGAAAGCGUGGGGAGCGAACGGG
rnacentral:rRNA from 1 species